AGAGUUUGAUCCUGGCUCAGGACGAACGCUGGCGGCGUGCCUAACACAUGCAAGUCGAACGGAGUUAUGUCACGAAGUUCUUCGGAGCGGACGACAUAGCUUAGUGGCGGACGGGUGAGUAACGCGUGAGCAACCUGCCUUUCAGAGGGGGACAACGGUUGGAAACGACCGCUAAUACCGCAUGACAUGACUGGACCGCAUGAUCCGGUCAUCAAAGAUUUUAUCAGUAGCCGGACUGAGAGGUUGAACGGCCACAUUGGGACUGAGAUACGGCCCAGACUCCUACGGGAGGCAGCAGUGGGGAAUAUUGGGCAAUGGGGGCAACCCUGACCCAGCAACGCCGCGUGAAGGAAGAAGGCUUUCGGGUUGUAAACUUCUUUUACCGAGGACGAAGAACGUGACGGUACUCGGAGAAAAAGCCACGGCUAACUACGUGCCAGCAGCCGCGGUAAUACGUAGGUGGCAAGCGUUGUCCGGAAUUACUGGGUGUAAAGGGCGUGUAGGCGGAGCGGCAAGUCAGAAGUGAAAUCUCUGGGCUCAACCCGGAAACUGCUUUUGAAACUGUCGCCCUUGAGUAUCGGAGAGGCAGGCGGAAUUCCUAGUGUAGCGGUGAAAUGCGUAGAUAUUAGGAGGAACACCAGUGGCGAAGGCGGCCUGCUGGACGACAACUGACGCUGAGGCGCGAAAGCGUGGGGAGCAAACAGGAUUAGAUACCCUGGUAGUCCACGCCGUAAACGAU
rnacentral:rRNA from 1 species